GAACGAGUUAUCUGAACCUUCGGGGAACGAUAACGGCGUCGAGCGGCGGACGGGUGAGUAAUGCCUAGGAAAUUGCCCUGAUGUGGGGGAUAACCAUUGGAAACGAUGGCUAAUACCGCAUAACACCUUCGGGUCAAAGAGGGGGACCUUCGGGCCUCUCGCGUCAGGAUAUGCCUAGGUGGGAUUAGCUAGUUGGUGAGGUAAUGGCUCACCAAGGCGACGAUCCCUAGCUGGUCUGAGAGGAUGAUCAGCCACACUGGAACUGAGACACGGUCCAGACUCCUACGGGAGGCAGCAGUGGGGAAUAUUGCACAAUGGGCGCAAGCCUGAUGCAGCCAUGCCGCGUGUGUGAAGAAGGCCUUCGGGUUGUAAAGCACUUUCAGUCGUGAGGAAGGUAGUGUAGUUAAUAGCUGUAUCAUUUGACGUUAGCGACAGAAGAAGCACCGGCUAACUCCGUGCCAGCAGCCG
rnacentral:rRNA from 1 species